UUCGCAUGAAUGAUUAUGAUACAAAGAUUGAUCGAUCAUUCGCAUGAAUAAUUAUGAUACAAAGAUUGAUCCAUCAAUUUCGUUCAUGAAAUGUUCAUGAUAUCAAUUCACAACGUCCGUCAAUUCACAAGGUCCUUCAGAUUAUCACUUCAUUCGCUCGUCAAUUCACAAGGUCCUUCAGAUUAUCACUUCAUUCGCUCGUCAAUUCACAAGGUCCGUCAAUUCACAAGAUCCCUUCAGAUUAUGACUUUUCACACUUUAUGACUUCCGAAUACCCAAAAUACCCUUUCUUUCCCCAAAUACCCUUUCUUUCCCCUUCAGAUUAUGACUUCACGGAAGUCAGAAUACCCAAAAUACCCUUUCUUCCCCUUCAGAUCAGAUUAUGACUUCAGUUCUGAAGUUCAUGAUAUCAAUUCACAAGGUCCGUCAAUUCAGAUACUUCAUUCGUCCAAAAUACCCAGUUCUUCCCCUUCGUUCUUCCCCUUCAGAUGUUCUUUCCUGGGCGGCUCGUCAAUUCACACCACUUUAUGACUUCAGAAUACCCAAAAUACCCUUUCUCCCCUUUCAGAAGGGGCGCACAAGACUUUUCAUCCUUUGGACCCGAGCAUCAUUGCCGCGCAAAUCCUAAAUUAGAUAAAAUUAUUCCAACAACUAAUCGAUGUGGGACUAAAACGGAUUCUCCAUCUCUAUUUAAAAUACACCCACACCUCCAACCAAAAAUAUGGUUCUCUCUGUCGAGAAUGCAUGUGGCCACA
rnacentral:lncRNA from 1 species